rnacentral:rRNA from 1 species
AUGUGUCCCGGCGGCAGGUACGCGGGCCUUGACCUCCCCGCCGGCGCCGGCGCGGGGGACCUGCGGCCGGCGUUCGACGUGCUGGACGCGGACCACGACGGCCGCAUCAGCCGCGACGACCUCAAGACCUUCUACGCCAACGCCGGCGCCACCGACGAGCGCUUCGACGACGACGACAUCGAGGCCAUGAUCGCCGCCGCCGACGCCGACCUCGACGGCUUCGUGCAGUACCACGAGUUCGAGGGCCUCCUUGGCCGCGCAGCUAAGGCGGGGGCGGACAGCGGCUGCCGCUCCGCGAUGGAGGACGCCUUCCGGCUAAUGGACCGCGACGGGGACGGCAAGGUCGGGUUCGAGGACCUCAAGGCCUACCUCGGGUGGGCCGGGAUGCCGGUCGCCGACGACGAGAUCCGCGCCAUGAUAAGUAUGGCUGCUGACGACGACGGCGGCGUGGGGCUCGAGGCGCUCGCCAGAAUACUCGCCGUGGACUUUGAUGCCAUCGUCUGA